rnacentral:rRNA from 1 species
CCUACGGGAGGCAGCAGUGGGGAAUAUUGCGCAAUGGGCGAAAGCCUGACGCAGCGACGCCGCGUGAGGGAUGACGGCCUUCGGGUUGUAAACCUCUUUCAGCAGGGACGAAGCGAAAGUGACGGUACCUGCAGAAGAAGCACCGGCCAACUACGUGCCAGCAGCCGCGGUAAUACGUAGGGUGCAAGCGUUGUCCGGAAUUAUUGGGCGUAAAGAGCUCGUAGGCGGUCUGUCACGUCGGCUGUGAAAACCCGAGGCCCAACCUCGGGCCUGCAGUCGAUACGGGCAAACUAGAGUGUUGCAGGGGAGACUGGAAUUCCUGGUGUAGCGGUGAAAUGCGCAGAUAUCAGGAGGAACACCGGUGGCGAAGGCGGGUCUCUGGGCAACAACUGACGCUGAGGAGCGAAAGCGUGGGGAGCGAACAGGAUUAGAUACCCUGGUAGUCCACGCCGUAAACGUUGGGCGCUAGGUGUGGGGGCCAUUCCACGGUCUCCGUGCCGCAGCUAACGCAUUAAGCGCCCCGCCUGGGGAGUACGGCCGCAAGGCUAAAACUCAAAGGAAUUGACGGGGGCCCGCACAAGCGGCGGAGCAUGUUGCUUAAUUCGAUGCAACGCGAAGAACCUUACCUAGGCUUGACAUGCACGGAAAUCUGUCAGAGAUGGCAGGUCCUUUUAGGGUCGUGCACAGGUGGUGCAUGGUUGUCGUCAGCUCGUGUCGUGAGAUGUUGGGUUAAGUCCCGCAACGAGCGCAACCCUCGUUCUAUGUUGCCAGCGGGUAAUGCCGGGGACUCAUAUGAGACUGCCGGGGUCAACUCGGAGGAAGGUGGGGAUGACGUCAAAUCAUCAUGCCCCUUAUGUCUAGGGCUGCAAACAUGCUACAAUGGCCGGUACAAAGGGCUGCGAUACCGUGAGGUGAGCGAAUCCCAAAAAGCCGGUCUCAGUUCGGAUUGGGGUCUGCACUCGACCCAUGAAGUUGGAGUCGCUAGUAAUCGCAGAUCAGCACGCCGCGGUGAUACGUUUCCAGG